AUCAGUGAGUUUUGCUCUAAUUAUGCUCAGAUGGUCAAUCUUCUAAAAUCCUUUGUUAAAUUCAGUUUUAACACUUCUGAGGAUUAUAAGGAUUUUUUCUCUCCCGCCUUACGUAUCGAAGCUAAAGACACAUUGGGCUCUUAUCUAAGGCUUCUGGUGGAUAUGGGUCGACGGAAAUGUCAACUUUUUUAGAGUUUUGUUGAUGAAGUAGUCCAGCACAUUUCUUCGUUUGCUUCCAUGCACCUUUUAGGUGCAACAAAUAAAAGCAAAUUUUUUUUAUAUUAAAUAAGGGUAUAAAAGGGUGGUCAGCUAACUUAACCCUAAUUCUCUCUUCUCACGCCGCUUCUCUCUUUUCUCUCUCCUCUUUCUCUUCUCUCUGUUCUCACGCUCUAUUCUCUCUUCUCCUCUUUCCUUUCUCUCUCUUCUUUUUCCUUCUCUUCUGCUCCUCCUCUUUGACACUGCUAGCCCGUCUAUCCUCAUCACCCUAAUUUUCUUCUUUGCUUGCGUUCUUCACCGAGAAACAAUCGAAUUUUGCGUUAUUCAACGAGCUACAAACAAUUUAUGGUGUUAAUGGUUAAAUUCGACCAUAAAAAUUCCAGAUUUGGAGUUGUCAUGGUCGAAUUUGACCAUAUAAACCCAAAGAGGAAGAAAUAUUGUAAAAGAUCUUUCCUCCCAACAUAGCUAUGUUGAUUUUGAGCUUGGAAAAGCCUAAACAGGAGAUGGAUGACUUUAUUUACUGGAAAUUCACGGGUGAUGGGAAUUCCUCCACCAAGACAACAUAUGCUAGGUUAAUUUGUCAGAUGGUGAAUGAGGCUACACAGCUAGUGGACCUUCCCCCAAGUUGGCGGAAGCAGCUUUGGGGUUCCCAAUUAUUGCAGAAAUGGAAGAUAUUCGCGUGGAAAAUCUUUCAUAAUGCUUUACCUACCGCUUUAUUGUUAUGCUUGCAAGGUAUAUUCUUGUGGAUCUUUGUUGUGCCUUAUGUCAUUUGAAUUCGGAGACUUCUUCACACUUGUUUCGGGAUUGUGCCUUUUCUCGGGGUUUAUGGGAGUCUCUCCCUUGUGAUUUGUCUAUUCACCUCUUCUGGUCUCACUCUUUUGAGGAUUUGUUUUCUGAGAUAAUUUUCAGGUUUAUUAACCUCAGCUAAGUUUACCCCCUUGAUAAACAUAUUUCAUUUAAUUAAA